AGAGUUUGAUCCUGGCUCAGGACGAACGCUGGCGGCGUGCUUAACACAUGCAAGUCUAAGGAGAAAGUUCCUUCGGGAACAAGUACACUGGCGAACGGGUGAGUAACGCGUAGGUAACCUACCCUUAAGCUUGGGAUAACCCACCGAAAGGUGGACUAAUACCGGAUAAUAUCUCUCUUCAUAGGAAGUUGAGAUCAAAGAUGGCUUCGGCUAUCACUUAUGGAUGGGCCCGCGUCUGAUUAGUUUGUUGGUGAGGUAAUGGCUCACCAAGGCAAUGAUCAGUAGCUGGUCUGAGAGGGCGAUCAGCCACAUUGGGACUGAGAUACGGCCCAGACUCCUACGGGAGGCAGCAGUGGGGAAUUUUGCGCAAUGAGCGAAAGCUUGACGCAGCAACGCCGCGUGAUCGAAGAAGCUCUGCGGAGUGUAAAGAUCUGUCAUAGGGGAAGAAAAAUUCUGUUAUUAACACCAUCGGAAUGUGACGGUACCCUAUAAGAAAGCCCCGGCUAACUUCGUGCCAGCAGCCGCGGUAAUACGAGGGGGGCAAGCGUUGUCCGGAUUUAUUGGGCGUAAAGAGUUCGUAGGCGGGUUAGUCAGUCGAAAUUGAAAUCCCACGGCUUAACCGUGGACCCGGUUUCGAUACUGCUAAUCUUGAGUGAGACAGAGGUAAGCGGAAUUCCUGGUGUAGCGGUGAAAUGCGUAGAUAUCAGGAGGAACACCGAAGGCGAAGGCAGCUUACUGGGUCUAUACUGACGCUGAGGAACGAAAGCGUGGGGAGCAAACAGGAUUAGAGACCCUGGUAGUCCACGCCGUAAACGAUGAGUACUUGGUGGUGGAGGAUUCGACCCCUUCACUGUCGGA
rnacentral:rRNA from 1 species